UCCUCUUGAUAUAUUUUGAGGUCUGGCCUGCUCACUGACAAGUUUUUAAAGAGCCGCGGUAUUUUGACCGUGCAAAGGUAGCAUAAUCAUUAGUCUCUUAAUUAGGGGCUGGAAUGAAUGGCUUGACGAGAAAUUAACUGUCUCUUAUUAAAUUAUAGAAUUUAACUUUUGAGUUAAAAGGCUUAAAUUUUUCUUAAAGACGAGAAGACCCUAUAGAGCUUGACAUUUUAUUUUUAUAUAAUUUUUAGAUAAUCUUUUUAUAUUUAAAGAUAAUGUUUUGUUGGGGUGACAUGAAGAAUAAAUAAACUCUUCAUUAUAAAAUCAUUGAUUUAUGUUUAUUUUGAUCCAUAAUUUAUGAUCAUAAGAUUAAGUUACCUUAGGGAUAACAGCGUAAUUGUUUUUGAGAGCUCAUAUUGACAAAGCAGAUUGCGACCUCGAUGUUGGAUUAAGAAUAAUUUUGGGUGCAGGAGCCCAAUAAUUAGUCUGUCGACC
rnacentral:rRNA from 1 species